GGAUGUAGCUCAAAUGGUAGAGCGCAUGCCUAGCAUGCACGUGGUUCUGGGUUCAAUCCCCAGUACUUCCA
rnacentral:tRNA from 1 species